rnacentral:rRNA from 1 species
AUUGAACGCUGGCGGCAGGCCUAACACAUGCAAGUCGAACGGUAACAGGAAGCAGCUUGCUGCUUCGCUGACGAGUGGCGGGCGGGUGAGUCAUGUCUGGGAAGCUGCCUGAUGGAGGGGGAUAACUACUGGAAACGGUAGCUAAUACCGCAUAAUGUCGCAAGCCCAAAGAGGGGGACCUUCGGGCCUCUUGCCAUCGGCUGUGCCCAGAUGGCAUUAGCUUGUUGGUGGGGUAACGGCUCACCAAGGCGACGAUCCAUAGCUGGUCUGAGAGGAUGAUCAGCCACACUGGAACUGAGACACGGUCCAGACUCCUACGGGAGGCAGCAGUGGGGAAUAUUGCACAAUGGGCGCAAGCCUGAUGCAGCCAUGCCGCGUGUAUGAAGAAGGCCUUCGGGUUGUAAAGUACUGUCAGCGGGGAGGAAGAGAGUAAAGUUAAUACCUUUGCACAUUGACGUUACCCGCAGAAGAAGCACCGGCUAACUCCGUG